ACAAAAAUAUCAUGGCUAAUAUUAGCAAUGAAUCAAAGUUUCCUGAUUACUACGAAGUUCUACAGUGUCAUAGAACUGCCUCAAACGAAGAGCUGAAGAAGAGUUACCAAAGUCUUGUAUUGUCUACCCAUCCAGAUAAAAUUAAAACACCUGUAUAUGACUUUUUUUAAAUGGUGAAAUGCUUAUGAAGUGUAGUGGAGGGUGCAAGGUGAAACAUGAAGUGUGUAUGUAAGUAAAUAAAUGAACUUUUUAGUA